UGACCUCAAAUCGGGUGAGACUACCCGCUGAACUUAAGCAUAUCU
rnacentral:rRNA from 1 species